AACAUAUUCUUUUUCAUAAAAAUAAAAGGCAAUCUCUGCCAGUUCUCCCCAGACUGCGUCACGAUGACUCACAGUGGCGGCCCUCCAGAGCCUGGAAUAUUUCUGAUGCUAUGUGCUGGAAUUUUGUGGAAAGUUCAUUCUCUAAGAGGAAUAUUAGCCCCAAGCUAACAACUGCCGCCAAUCUUCCUCUUUUUGCUGAGGAAGACUGGCUCUGAGCUAACGUCUGUGCCCAUCUUCCUCCACUUUAUAUGUGGGACACCUACCACAGCAUGGCUUGCCACGCGGUGCCAUGUCCUCACUUGGGAUCUGAACCAACGAACCCCGGGCCGCUGAAGUGGAACGUGAGAACUUAAUCACGGUGCCAUGGGGCUGGCCCCCUAUUGACAUUUUCAAAGAACCAGCUUUGGGUUUCACUGAUUUUCUUUAUUGUUUGUCCAUUUUCUAUUUUAUUGAUUUCCGUUCCUGUCUUUACUUUUCCCUUCCUUCUAAUUACUUUGGGUCUAAUAUGUUCUUCUUUUUCUAGCUUCUUAAGGUGGAAGCUUAGAUCAUUAGUUUUAUAUAUUUCUUCUUUUCUAAUGUAAGUAUUU
rnacentral:lncRNA from 1 species